rnacentral:ribozyme from 14 species
UUUUGUCUUUCUGUUUUCCGAUUCCUCUUCCUUUCUGCUUUGGUGCAAUUUUGCCAGGGAUAGAGUAACAGGAGCGAGCUUUUACUGUCAAUCUUUUAGUGCACUGUUACGGAAAAGGAUAGGAAAAGGAUAGGCACAAGAGUUUAAAUUCUGUAGAGU